AUUGAACGCUGGCGGCAUGCUUUACACAUGCAAGUCGAACGGCAGCGCGGGCUUCGGCCUGGCGGCGAGUGGCGAACGGGUGAGUAAUGCAUCGGAACGUGCCCAGUAGUGGGGGAUAGCCCGGCGAAAGCCGGAUUAAUACCGCAUACGACCUGAGGGUGAAAGCGGGGGACCGAAAGGCCUCGCGCUAUUGGAGCGGCCGAUGUCGGAUUAGCUAGUUGGUGGGGUAAAGGCUUACCAAGGCGACGAUCCGUAGCUGGUCUGAGAGGACGACCAGCCACACUGGGACUGAGACACGGCCCAGACUCCUACGGGAGGCAGCAGUGGGGAAUUUUGGACAAUAGGGGCAACCCUGAUCCAGCCAUGCCGCGUGCGGGAAGAAGGCCUUCGGGUUGUAAACCGCUUUUGUUCGGGAAGAAAUCCUCUGGGCUAAUACCCCGGGGGGAUGACGGUACCGGAAGAAUAAGCACCGGCUAACUACGUGC
rnacentral:rRNA from 1 species